ensembl:lncRNA SLC16A1-AS1 SLC16A1 antisense RNA 1
AGAAUGGAGCCUAUGGAGAACACCCAUAUUCAACAACAGUGGCUGACUUUCAGCACGCAGCAGACAGCCUCUGAGAGACUUUGUUCUGUGUCUCACCCUUCUCUUAUGCAGUGAGGAAAGGGAGACUCUCUAGGCCAGGCAGUAACCCUGAGAGCUUCCCUGACAGAGGAUUGCUGAGAGACUGAGCAGAUGCAAGAGGAAUGCCUCUGUUCUUCCCUCACUGCCUAUUUUGGCCAUCUCCCUGCUUUUAGACUUUGCAGUGGAGGGGCCAGAGGCUUGAGCCAAGCCAAAGAUACAGGAGAAGGAUCUGGAAUCCACCUCAGUGGGUAGGGCCAAUUAAGACAAGAGGGGUGUACACAGAGGGAAAUGUUCAGAAAACAAACCUCUUGCAAGAAUCUGGAGGUAUAACAGGGCCAAGUCUUCAUACUGAGUUGGUGGGGGCUUCACUUUAAUAUGUGAAUGUUGGAAAGAGGUGGGAUAUGAAAAGAAAUCACAAUACCUUGAUCACCAGCUUCUACCAGAGGGAUCUUGUCUCUUAUUGCUGCUUUUUUAUCUUCAGGAAACUCCCAAGCAUUCUGGAAGCUCUGCAUGUGAGUAAGAACCACUGCUGUUGCUGUUGCUGUAGCUGCCUGAAUCUAUGGCAAAAAGCCAGGAAAAAAAAAUUGCUUCACACCAUGUGCACCGACUCCCCUGGAGCUGGCACCACCAGGGCGUCUGCAGAGCUAUUAGAGACGGGGUUUCACAGUGUUAACCAGGAUGGAUCUCCUGACCUCGUGAUCUGCCCGCCUUGGCCUCCCAAAGUGCUGGGAUUACAGGUGUGAGCCACCGCGCCCGGCCUGGAACUCCUGACUUUAUAAUCCACCUGCCUUGCCUCCCAAAGUGCUGAGAUUACAGGCGUUAGCCGCCACGCCUGGCCCUCUUCAUCUUCUUUUAAAGCCACCCACCAGUCACAUCAUGGAGGCCCCACCCUGAUGACCUAACCUAUUAUCUAAUCCUGAUUACAUCCCAAAGGCCCCACUUCUAAUCAACAUAUGCAUUGGGGAUUAAAGUUUGGAAUACAUAAAAUUUGGGAGACACAUUCAAAUCAUAGCAAUAGGAAAUACCAUCUUUGGUGGAAAAACAUGUGGCUUAGAAAGCAAGUCUAUGGUUUUGAUGGAAGUAGCAAAAUACUUUAUCAUCACAAAGCGGUAUCUAUUGUUGCCAACUUUACUUUCCCAUCACAUUAGCCUUGUAUUAGAUGAAGUAAAGAAAUAUGAGUUUUUAAGUAAAUUAGGUUAACCAGAAAUGCAUUAAAUUGUUGUAAGUAAAAAUUAAUUAAUGGAUUAAUAUAAACAUAAAGAAAAGUUUCCAAAGAAGGCUUUGUCCUUUUAAUAAUUCUGCAAUUGACAUGAAUGAAGUCCUAGAAAGUGUGUUCAUCAAACCUAGGAAUCAAAGUUGGGAAUAAGUGAUUUUAAAAAAACAGAGAGAGUUUGAAAACUAAGUUUAACAAAGUUAAAUGUAAGAUCCUGCACUUCAAACUAAGAAAAAAUAACUGCACUAGUACAAGAUAA